UACAGAGGUCUCAAGCGUUGUUCGGAUUCAUUGGGCGUAAAGGGUGUGUAGGUGGCGCCGUAAGUCGGGUGUGAAAUUUCGGAGCUUAACUCCGAAACUGCAUUCGAUACUGCGGUGCUUGAAGACUGGAGAGGAGACUGGAAUUCAUGGUGUAGCAGUGAAAUGCGUAGAGAUCAUGAGGAAGACCAGUGGCGAAGGCGGGUCUCUGGACAGUUCCUGACACUGAGACACGAAGGCCAGGGGAGCAAACGGG
rnacentral:rRNA from 1 species